rnacentral:rRNA from 1 species
GAUGAACGCUGGCGGCGUGCUUAACACAUGCAAGUCGAACGGAAAGGCCGAAGCUUGCUUCGGUACUCGAGUGGCGAACGGGUGAGUAACACGUGGGUGAUCUGCCCUGUACUUCGGGAUAAGCUUGGGAAACUGGGUCUAAUACCGGAUAUGACGAUCUCUUGGAUGGGGUUGUGGAAAGCUUUUGCGGUAUGGGAUGAGCUCGCGGCCUAUCAGCUUGUUGGUGGGGUAAUGGCCUACCGAGGCGUCGACGGGUAGCCGGCCUGAGAGGGUGUACGGCCACAUUGGGACUGAGAUACGGCCCAGACUCCUACGGGAGGCAGCAGUGGGGAAUAUUGCACAAUGGGCGCAAGCCUGAUGCAGCGACGCCGCGUGGGGGAUGACGGCCUUCGGGUUGUAAACUCCUUUCGCAAUCGACGAAGCCUUUUGGUGACGGUAGGUUGAGAAGAAGCACCGGCUAACUACGUG